rnacentral:rRNA from 1 species
UACGUAGGGGGCAAGCGUUGUCCGGAUUUAUUGGGCGUAAAGGGCGCGUAGGCGGCCAUGCGUGUCUUCCGUGAAAUCCCUCGGCUUAACUGAGGACGUGCGGAAGAAACUGCAAGGCUCGAGUCCGGGAGAGGGGGGUGGAAUUCCCAGUGUAGCGGUGAAAUGCGUAGAUAUUGGGAGGAACACCGGUGGCGAAGGCGGCCCCCUGGACCGGUACUGACGCUGAGGCGGCGAAAGCGUGGGUAGCAAACGGGG